GUUAACAUAUUUUGGCAAGCCAGCCAGGAGAAAGAGGAAGUCAUCAUUCCUUCCAUUUAUCUGGAAUUCCCAAGCUACCUUUGUCGGGAUGCAGGAAUUAAUGGAGUACACCAGCUUUUUAUCCUUAAAUGAACUUUGGGGAUUUUAGGCUUCCUGAUACUUUAAGCGUGUUGAGUAUAUUCUUACAAAUAGGAUUUGAGUUAUCUUUCUUUCUCUGCUGAGUUUCUUCAAAAAGUGUCAACUAUACCUGUGAAUAUUCUGAAUUCAUGGCCUUGUGUUUGUUUGCAUACAGUCAGGCAGGGCCGCCAGGGCCGCUCAGGGAGAGAGAACCCAGAAACCUGGCACGCCGGCAAAAGGGGAAGAAUUUCUUACGUCAGUCUCUGGCCUCUUUCUCUCUCUGCAAACUGGUGAAUCUCCUCUGUGAAGUUUUAAAUUAAUUGGUUUAAUAA
rnacentral:lncRNA from 10 species